UACGAAGGGGACUAGCGUUGUUCGGAAUCACUGGGCGUAAAGCGCGUGUAGGCGGCCCGACAAGUCCGCCGUGAAAGUCCGAGGCUCAACCUCGGAAUGCCGGUGGAAACUGUCGGGCUUGAGUUCGGAAGAGGCGAGUGGAAUUCCUGGUGUAGCGGUGAAAUGCGCAGAUAUCAGGAGGAACACCAAUGGCGAAGGCAGCUCGCUGGGACGACACUGACGCUGAGACGCGAAAGCGUGGGGAGCAAACAGG
rnacentral:rRNA from 1 species